rnacentral:rRNA from 1 species
AGCGAACGUUAGCGGCACGCCUAACACAUGCAAGUCGCACGAGAACAGGGGCAACCCUUAGUAAAGUGGCGCACGGGUGCGUAACACGUAGAUAACCCUGCCCUUUGGAGGGGGAUAACGUUCCGAAAGGAGACGCUAAUACCGCAUACAGCAAGAGCCGGUUCGCCGGUUUUUGGCAAAGGUAGGGAUCCGCAAGGACCUACCGCCAGAGGAGGGUCUGCGGCCCAUCAGCUAGUUGGUGAGGUAAGGCUCA